AGGCGGAGGCGGAGGCGGAGGCGGAGCGCCGUGCCCUGCGCUGCGAGCGUGCCGGGGCCGCGGAGGCAGGCAGCACGGAGACCCCGGAGUCCCUGGACCUUGGGGCAGGGGCGAGGCAGAGCUGUGCCGCGGCGGGGAUGCGGGCUCUGCCUCCUGCAGCAGGGGCAAUACCCGCUUCGGGGGAGACGCGUGGGAGAGGGAGCCGGCCGGCUCCAGCCGCAGAAAGGGCAGCGCGCAGGAGGGGCGACUCCUCCGCUGCCUUUGGCCGCCGGCGCCACAGCCUGCAGGACAGACAGCGCAUGCGGAGCAGCUGCAGAGCAAGCAGGGCCUGGGGAGCCCUUUGCCACACCCGGGCUCAGUGUGCCGGGAGGCCGGGAGAGGCCGAGACCAUCGCCCGCCCCGCCCCGCCCCGCCGGAGGAGCUGCAGGCGCAGAGGUGGCGGAGCAGCUCCUGCCGCCGCCUGCACCCGGUGGGCACGGGGCGGCUUCCCCCUCCCGGGUCUCAGCUCUGCCCUCAGGCAUCCCUGAGAUCCACGUCUCUGACCUGCUUUGCCCCCUCCUUCCGGCUAGCAGGCACCCGAGUCCCGUGUCAGUGCUGCCGCUCCCUGCACCCCUGGCCGCAGGACAGAUGUUCUCUCCCGUGCUUAUUUCAGACGUGCCUGGACGGGGUGGCCAGACUUGCCUUUCUUUCUGGAAAUACCCACAGCUGUUUCUGUGCCGCUCUCUUACUUUCUCUGCUGUGAAAGUUUGACUGGGAAGUGGCCUGCAUUUAUUCCUUCCUAACAACCUAUUGCUGCACCUCGGCUACUGGGUGGUGCAACGAAGUUAAGCGCGUGCGUGUGUGUGUGUGUGUGUAGAAAGGCCCCGCACCUAAAUUGUCUUACUGUUGUCUUGGAGACAGCUGGCCCAUGAAAAGGACUAUGAAUGAAGUAUCUUUUGUUACAAAACGAGAACUCAGGUUCGUAAUGCCACUGCUGCGUUCUUAACAACUGUCAUGACACGGCCCGGUGUUUUAAUUGUAAAAAUGUGCUUCCUGUUUUGUGGGGAUGACUGCAAACACAGAGCCAUGCUGAGACCUGCUCCCUGUGUAGGUGCACUAAUGCUCUAACAUCCAUGCGUCGGCAAUGUGGAGGUGACGCUGCGGACGGUCUAGGGAAGAUGCAAAAGGAAAGAAUUCUUGUGAGUGAUAUCUUUUGUUGAACCAACUGCAUGACUGGGAUAGACACAGACAAGCUUUUGGCUAUCACAGAUUUUCAAAGAGACCUGAGGAAAUAUACUGUGUGCAAUCUUCUUUUAAAAAUUUUUGUUAAUUUUUAUUUUUUUUGUAUUUUGCUGUGCAUCAUCAGGGCUCAGGGUAGGUCAGCAGACUGAAUUUGAGCAAGGAGAUCUAAGAUGCGCAGCCUUGAAAAAGCAUGUGUUAGAAACAUGUCUCUUUGCAUCCCUGGAAGUCAAAUUAUUGCACAGAUCCAUCCCAGACUGAUACCAUCUGGUUGGAUUGCAGCUCAGCUAGUGUCUGGCAUCUACUGCUCUCCUGAGGAAUCCGUAGUCCAGAAAUUAUGCUGAGUUAAAUCAGGGGCAGGCAAUUAUUUUGGGCAGAGGGCCACUUACUGAGUUUUGGCAAGCCAUCAAAGGCUGCAUGAGAGGCAGCCCAGGGCAGAUAAAUAUUAAUUUUCUAACUUUUUUAGGGGCCCCGUGGGCUGGAUAGAAUGGCCUGGCGGGCUGCAUCCGGACCCUGGGCAACAUUUUGCCCACUCCUGGAUUAAGUUCACAGUGGGUAACCCGGUAUAGAAGCACACACAUGUGCAUGCUUGAAAACAAAGCUGUUUUAAGAUGAAUGAUAUAAAUCAAUAACAUACACUGUUCUGUGUUUGACUGGUAAACAGAAAUGUCAAAGAACUGCAGUGGAAAGGAAGGAGCAGAACCACAGAGUUUUGGGUGCUCGUUUAGUUGUUUGGGACUAACUAGCAUGAAGGUUCGCUGCACCUUUCCAGAGUCUCCCGCUUGAUGCGCCGAUCCACAACUUUAAACUGGGUGACCAGGUCCUGGUACAGAAGUGGAGAAAGAAUCCUCUUGCGGAAAGGUGGGAGGGACCCUACCAGGUGCUGCUGACCACACACAGCUGUUCGCUUAUGAAACAGCAAUAAGUGGACCCAUUGCUCGAAGGUGAAGCCUUUUCAUCAGGAGGACACCAACUCCUAGGGUGUGGUCACUCUGGAAGCUGAUAACACCCGGGAACAAAAAGCCAACAAAUGGAAAAGUAAACCUGCUGGAGGUUUAAAGUUACGCUUGCAAAGAUGUGAACCCUAAUCUAUUUGUUGGGACUCUUAUCCCUUUUAGGUAUAUCAAACCCAAAGGUUAUGUCCACCUGUUGUUCUCAAAAUGAGCUUGCAACCAUCAGUAAGGCUCAGUACGACUGCAAAAUCGCUUAGCUCUUGAUUAUUUACUUGCAAGUGAAGGAGGGGUGUGUAAAAAGCUGAACUUGUCAAACUGUUGUGUCAAUAUCAACGAUAAUGGUGAGGUAAUCAAAGCCUUAGCAGAUAAAAUGGAAAAGGUCGCACAUGUCCCCGUCCAAACAUGGAAUGGGUGGAAUUUUGAUUGGUUUACAUCCUGGCUUCCCAAUUUUGGAUGGUUAAAAGGAGUUUUCUUCGUCUUGUGCCUGCUAAUGUCAAUGCUUUGCUUGCUCCCCUGUAUUUUACCCUGUCACAUAGCCCUCGUAAAACGGACAAUACAGUCAGUCUUCAACCGAGAAAUGUUUGUGCAUUAUCAAAAAUUAACACUGGCUGAAACCUAUUAAGAUGAGAGUUAGAAAGCAUCUUGAGGGGGGGAAUUGUGGCAAAAAUGUCUCAUGAUCUCACUACACAAAGGACCUCACAGCUGAGAACUGUAAUCUCACUACACAAAAGGCUUCACAGCUGAGAACUGCAAAUUGUUUCUUUUUCUCUUCUUUCUUCCUGCACUAGAUAAUCAGUAACAUAAUAAAGAACAGUCCGAACAAAUGCUCGGUUCGCGAUAAGGCUGAUUCCUGUGGGAACACAAAGAUUAGUUACUGCCUGCUUUGCACAUAAAUUUUGCAACCCUUAUUCAUAGAUUCAUAGAUGUUAGGGUCGGAAGGGACCUCAGUAGAUCAUCGAGUCUGACCCCCUCCAUAAGCAGGAAAGAGUGCUGGGUCUAGAUGACCCCAGCUAGGUACUCAUCUAACCUCCUCUUGAAGACCCCCAGGGUAGGGGAGAGCACCACCUCCCUUGGGAGCCCAUUCCAGACCCUGGCCACUCGAACUGUGAAGAAGUUCUUCCUAAUGUCCAAUCUAAAUCUGCUUUCUGCUAGCUUGUGGCCAUUGUUUCUUGUAACCCCUGGGGGCGCCUUGGUGAAUAAAUACUCACCAAUUCCCUUCUGUGCCCCUGUGAUGAACUUAUAGGCAGCCACAAGGUCACCUCUCAACCUUCUCUUGCGGAGGCUGAAAAGGUCCAGUUUCUCUAGUCUCUCCUCGUAGGGCUUGGUCUGCAGGCCCUUGACCAUACGAGUUGCCCUUCUUUGGACCCUCUCCAGGUUAUCCGCAUCCUUCUUGAAGUGUGGUGCCCAGAAUUGCACGCAGUACUCCAACUGCGGUCUGACCAGUGCCUGAUAGAGGGGAAGUAUCACCUCCUUGGACCUGUUUGUCAUGCAUCUGCUGAUGCACGAUAAAGUGCCAUUGGCUUUUUUGAUGGCUUCGUCACACUGCCGACUCAUGUUCAUCUUGGAGUCCACUAGGACUCUAAGAUCCCUUUCCACCUCUGUGCCACCCAGCAGGUCAUUCCCUAGGCUGUAGGUGUGCUGGACAUUUUUCCUCCCUAGGUGCAGCACUUUGCAUUUCUCCUUGUUGAACUGCAUCCUGUUGUUUUCUGCCCACUUGUCCAACCUAUCCAGGUCUGCCUGCAGCUGUUCCCUGCCCUCUGGCGUGUCCACAUCUCCCCAUAGCUUUGUGUCAUCUGCAAACUUGGACAGAGUACGUUUCACUCCCUCGUCCAAGUCACUGAUGAAGACAUUAAAGAGUAUCGGUCCAAGGACCGAGCCCUGCGGGACCCCACUGCCCACACCCUUCAAGGUCGAGACCGACCCAUCCACCACGACUCUCUGGGUGCGACCCUCUAGCCAAUUAGCCACCCACCGGACUCUGUAGUCAUCCACGUCACAGCCUCUUAACUUGUUCACCAGUAUGGGGUGGGAUACCGUAUCGAAGGCCUUCCUGAAGUCUAAGUAUACGACAUCGACCCCUCCUCCUGUGUCCAGGCGUUUCGUAACCUGGUCAUAGAAAGAGACUAGAUUGGUCAGGCACGAUCUGCCCGCCACAAACCCAUGCUGGUUUCCCCUCAGCAUAAUUUGCCCUGCUGGGCUCUCACAAAUGUGAGCCUUGAUAAUUUUUUCAAAGACUUUACCAAGGAUGGAGGUGAGACUGACUGGCCUAUAGUUGCCCGGGUCCUCCUUCCUCCCCUUUUUGAAAAUGGGGACCACAUUAGCCCUUUUCCAGUCCUCCGGGACUUGGCCCAUGCACCACGAGCGUUCGAAUAUUCCCGCCAGUGGCUCUGCAAUGAUGUUGGCCAGUCCCUUCAGCACCCUCGGAUGGAGCUCAUCCGGGCCUGCCGACUUAAAGGCAUCCAGUUCUUCCAAGUGACUCUGCACCAUCUCAGGAUCUACGCAUGGAAGUCUGGCGCCUUGCUGCUGCCUCUCUACAACCCCAGUGAGAGACUUGUCGUGUCCCUCACUUAGGAACACUGAGGCAAAGAACUCAUUGAGGAGUUCAGCCUUGUCCCCCCUGUCUGUCACCAAUUGUUUCUGCCCAUUUAGCAGGGGUCCUAUUCCUCCCUGGUCCUUCCUUUUACUCGCUAGAUAUCUAAAAAACAAUUUCUUAUUGUCUUUUACUUGGGUUGCCAUCCUCAGCUCCAUGGUAGCUUUGGCCCGCCUAACUGCCUCCCUACAAGCACGAACAGAGGAGGUAUAUUCGUCUUUAGUGAUCUCACCUUGUUUCUACUUUUUAUGUGCUCCCCUUUUGGCCCUUAGGCUGCCCUGGAUUUCUCUGGUCAGCCAUGGAAGCCUCCUGGCCCCUUUCCCUCUUUUGCCUCUCUCGGGGAUCAUCUUGCUUUGUGCCCGAAGGAUUGUUUCCUUAAGGCACAGCCACCCUUCUUGGGCUCCCAUCCCUUCAAAACUCCUACUCUGCAGUGCGUCCUUGACUAAUCGCCGGAGUUCAUUGAGAUCAGGUUUCCUAAAGUCUAGCACUUUCACCCUACUAGUUACCUUACCCACUCAACGUCUGAUGUUGAAUUCUAUUAUUAGGCGAUCACUGUCGCCCAAAUGGCUACCGAUCUGGAGGUCCCCUACCAUGUCAUCCCCUGUUGCCAAUACCAGAUCCAGUAUGGCAUUCCCCCUAGUGGGACCAUGUACCUCCUGUGUCAGGUGGAGGUCCUGUACACAGGUUAGAAACCUGCGUGAGCGGUGAGACUUUGCUGUCUGUGUCUCCCAGCAGAUGUCCGGGUAGUUUAGGUCCCCCAUGACUACCGCCUCUUUAGCUUUUAUGGUCUCCGAGAGUUGCCUCAGGAGCCCCGCAUCUAUUUCUUCCCCUUGAUGUGGGGGUCUGUAGCAGACCCCUACCACUAAAUCCCUUUCUCCUUGCCCCCCAUGUAGCCUAACCCACAAUCCUUCUACUUCCUCAACCUUGGAUUCUGUCUUGAUGAGGGUUGAUGUAUAUUGCUUACUGACAUAAAGUGCAACCCCCCCCCCCUUUCUUCCCCGACCUGUCCUUUCUGUACAAUCUAUAGCCCUCAAUAUGUACCACCCAGUCGUGGGAUGAAUUCCACCAGGUUUCUGUUAGCCCCACUAAGUCAAGUAACCUUGUUACUUGCCCGUUUUAGGAUUACGCAUGUACUAAAUUUUGCAGAGAACUGUAGCCAAUCCCAGAUUGCCACAAUGGAAUCUUGUUCAUGAGAGGUAUAAAAAUGUAACUUCGGGCGUGGCUAGGGGUCGACUCAACUUUGAGCAUUGAACUCCCUUGUCGAUCUGUUUGUAAACAAAUAAACUCGAGUUGGACCCAG